UUCUUUUCGGUUAAAUGAUAAGUAAGGCCUGCCCACUGUGUGUAUGAAGGGCCGCGGUAUUUUGACCGUGCUAAGGUAGCGUAAUCAUUAGUCUUUUAAUUGAAGAAUGGUAUGAAUGGUUUGACUGGUUAAAACUAUGUUAAUUAUUUUAAUAAAACUUAAAUUUUAAGUGAAAAUUCUUAAUUUGUUUCGGGGGACGAUAAGACCCUUUAGAGCUUGAUGUUUUAUUUACUAUUUAAACUCGGGGGGGUUUACAUAGUAGAUAAAGUAUUUUGUUGGGGCAACAAUUAGAAUAUUCGAAACUUCUGUUUAUAUGUGGUGGUAAUUAAAAUUAUCUUUAAGUUGAAAUUUCAAGUAGUUACCUAAGGGAUAACAGCGUUAUAACUUUAGAGAGUUCCUAUCGAUAAAGUUUUUUGCGACCUCGAUGUUGAAUUAAGAUUUCUUUUAUGGGCAGCAUUAUAAUUAGAUGGUCUGUUCGACCGUAAAAUUCUU
rnacentral:rRNA from 1 species